rnacentral:lncRNA from 1 species
CCCUCCCCUCCCCUCCCUCCCUCACACGCCGCCGCCGCCGCGCUGGGGGACCCGGUGACGUCACGGGCGGCGCGCUCCCGGCGCUGGCUCGGCGCUCGCCGCCCCGUAACUUGUGCCGUGGGAAGCGGCGCCAGGAACAGCCCGGCCGGGCUGCGAGCUGCGAGCCCUGCCUCGCCUCCCUGCCCUCCUCUCCCCUCCUCUCCUCUCCUCUCCUUCCCGACCGCGGCCGCCGGCCUCCGCCUCGCCCCCGUCAGUGCCGCGGUGAUGCUGGUGCGUUCCCGGCGGAGGGGCAGCGAUGAGCUACCUUAAGAUAAAUACGCGAGACAGACGCCCCUUGGCCGCUGGAAUAUCUCUGCCUGGCCUUAUAUAAAGGAACGCCGCCGGCCGCCGAGCUCCGGGCAAACGGAGCGCCCGGCGGGAGCACCAGCACCGCCGCCAGCAGCAGCAGCGGCGGCAGCAGCGGCAGCAAGGGCACCGGGAGGGCUCCGCUCCCUCCUCCUCCGCCGCCGCUUCCCAGGUGGGACCCUCUCCUGAUAUGUGAUCUGCAGCAAGCAACCCUGAAUCAUACGAUGACAAUGUUAUCACUGCCACAUCUCUGGGAACCAGUUAUUCAUAAGUAUACGGAUUGUCUACUUAAGAAGCUGAGAGUGAGCUAG